rnacentral:rRNA from 1 species
GACGAACGCUGGCGGCGUGCUUAACACAUGCAAGUCGAACGGAAAGGCCCUGCUUUUGUGGGGUGCUCGAGUGGCGAACGGGUGAGUAACACGUGAGUAACCUGCCCUUGACUUUGGGAUAACUUCAGGAAACUGGGGCUAAUACCGGAUAGGAGCUCCUGCUGCAUGGUGGGGGUUGGAAAGUUUCGGCGGUUGGGGAUGGACUCGCGGCUUAUCAGCUUGUUGGUGGGGUAGUGGCUUACCAAGGCUUUGACGGGUAGCCGGCCUGAGAGGGUGACCGGCCCCAUGGGGACUGGGAUACGGCCCAGACUCCUACGGGGGGCAGCGGGGGGGAAUUUUGCACAAUGGGCGGAAGCCUGAUGCAGCAACGCCGCGUGCGGGAUGACGGCCUUCGGGUUGUAAACCGCUUUCGCCUGGGACGAAGCGUGGGUGACGGUAAUGGGGAAAGAAGCACCGGCUAACUACGU